rnacentral:rRNA from 1 species
UGGGGAAUCUUGCACAAUGGGGGAAACCCUGAUGCAGCGACGCCGCGUGAGCGAUGAAGCCCUUCGGGGUGUAAAGCUCUUUCGGCAGGAACGAUAAUGACGGUACCUGCAGAAGAAGCUGCGGCUAACUACGUGCCAGCAGCCGCGGUAAUACGUAGGCAGCAAGCGUUGUUCGGAGUUACUGGGCGUAAAGAGUGCGUAGGUGGUUCUCUAAGUUCGGUGUGAAAUCUCCCGGCUCAACUGGGAGGGUGCGCCGAAAACUGGAGAGCUUGAGUAUGGGAGAGGAGAGCGGAAUUCCUGGUGUAGCGGUGAAAUGCGUAGAUAUCAGGAGGAACACCUGUGGUGCAGACGGCUCUCUGGACCAUUACUGACGCUCAAGCGCGAAGGCUUGGGGAGCAAACA